AAGACCCCACUAGCGGCUCUGCCUUAUCACUAGGCCUCGGCCUUGCAAAAUGACUAGGCCACAACCAUGCCAGGCUAUGCACUAAUAAUAAAUCAACUGUGUUCCUAUUUAAUAUACUUAAAUAACUUUAAAAGUCCAAGUCUACCUGCAUUUAAGUGCCUGGUGUUCUGCGCAGAGUCUCUGUCCCCCUUCGCGAACUCCUCGAAUAAUCCUUUCUGCCACAAAAUUGGUGGCUGUGGGCCUUUGUGGCAUUGAAUCUGGCCUGGGCCCCUUCUCCGACGCCGGCACCAACGCGGCUGCCUCUCCUCAUACCUCAGCAGAACAGAGGCAGAAGCCAAUUAUGACAGGCUUCCUAGCCUAGGCAGAAGGCCAAAACCAAAGCCCACAAUCCCUGAGGGUAAAGGGCAGAGCAGGCCAAGGAGGCGAGAGAGAGGCCAUUUUGGAUGUGUCAGGCGACAGGCAGCCUCACAGCACUGAAGUAGGCCAGAAAAGCCUGGAAAUAUAUCACAGGUUAUUUAGUCUGCAGAUAUGUAAUCAUUAGAAUCAGCCCAGCUUCCCAGGCUCACUUUUGAAGCAUCCCUGGUACAGAGGUGACCUGUUCCGUUGCUGAGCGGUGGUGUGGGUGUUUCAAUAUCUGGGGUUUCGAAGGGUGUGUGUUGUCGGGUGUUUGGGUAUUUGUGGCAUGAGGUGCGGUUGUGGGUUUACAGGGAGGGUUUACAUGCAUGGUUGUGGUCCCCCUCUAGGGCUUGGACUACUGGAAAGGUUUAACACCUGGCCUGUGCCUCACAGAGGUGCUUUGCUGCAGUUACUAUUUCUCAACAUGGCCCACCCCACAGGGUUGUUGUGAUAUUAAAUACUGGAAGAGAAGCACCACUGCACCCCUCCCCAGGCAAACUUCCUCUAGGGGGUGUUUUUUAGCCUGGAGUGCUGUGUUUGUGAGGGGUGUGUGGGACUUGCUCAGACUUCUAUAAUGCACAGUCACUUAUAUACAUAUAUACAUAUAUAAACACAAGGCUAUGCUGACCCAAUACGGAAGUACUUAAUUUUUUUAAAAAGUGAUUUAAAUGCCACAGUCAUCGGCAUCAUACAAAUAAUUGAAGAUGUCUUUCUCAGUACCAGCCCCUGCUGCCGCCUUUGCUCUGGAUUGAUACAUGUUUUGGAGGGAUAUGCAGAAGUUUUGAAGGCAUUUAUCCUACUACGCUUCAUACUGUCCCUUGGCAAGGAGUUCCACAGGUAACUGUAAGCAUGAAAAAGUAACCAUCAAAUUUGCUUGUUUUAAUUCAUGUCCCAUUAAUUUUUUAAGUCCAUCCCCAUUCCAUGUGUGUGAUACAAAGGGAGUAUGUGUAUGUUGUGUGUUUCCCUUUUGCUACUGAUGCAAAAUUGAAAUUAAAACCAUGUUGCCCUAUAGGCAAGCCACAAUGUACUCAGUUGUUGAUAACAUUAAUGAAGCACCACAAUGUGAUAAUACUUAGCAUUGGAGGGGGAGGGGUUACUGGUUUGUAGGGUUUUUUGUUCUUGUUUUUAUCACGUAUUUUGUGCUUUUAUGUUACAUUUUUAUGUUAUGAACCUCCCGGAUAUCUGCGGAUGAAGGGUGGUAUAGAAAUAGAAAGAAAGAAAGAAAGAAAGAAAGAAAGAAUAAUUAUUAUCCCAUUUUGUCUCACUGGUGCUUUAACUUCAGAUAUUUUGACCAGGCAGGAAACAAGGAGCCUUUGUAUGUUUUUUCUUCCCAAAGCACUAAGAAUGCUUGCAAUAUACUUUCAGAAGGGAAAAAAGAAUGCAACUCCAAAUAUCCUGUCAUUUUUUUUUCAUUUCAAAGUAGAGAUUGUACAUCCAUGGGAAAGAAUACUUUUGCAACCAUCAAACACCUUCGGAACAGGAAAAAGACCCAUCUAUAGUUAAUUAGCCUGCCAUGUAUGAAAGUGUAACAAGAACACCACCUACUGUAAAAGGGAAUGUUCUACACUCAGGAUGCUAAUUUAUUCAUGUCUGCACAAAGAGGGAAGACCGAGACUGUUAACCCUUGUCUGCCAGAGACUUUUGGAUACUCUCUAAAAUGAAUAUCACUGAAGACUCCUGCAAAGUUUAUUUGCUAGACAUCAUGAUGAGAGCAGAAUAACCAGUGUAGAUAUCAGAACAGCAGAAUAACAUAUGAUAUGUUUAAAAUUAAUCUGGACUGGUGUGUGAAGAGGCAACAAUUUACAUUGCGAAUAAAUCUUAAAGCAGCUAUGAGUAUUUGCUUGGAAGUAAGCCCCAUGCAGUUUUCUCAUGUAAAUACACAUUGAACUGUAGCUUCAGUUGGUAUUGUUACAGAAACCAACAUAAUAAUCAAAUGAUAUAAAGGUACAGAAAAUAAUCUCUCUCAUUUUCACUGACAACUUUAUUCACUACUUGUUAUUAAAGGUAACUUUUAUCAGAAUGUCUAAAUCAGGGAUGAGGAAUCUUUGGCCACCCAAGUACUAUUGGGCUCCAAAUGCCAUCAGCCUAGCCAGUGUCGUCAGUUGUCAGGUGACAACUGGGGGCACACAGAUUUCCCAUACAGCACCAAAAAAACAUUUCUCCCUUGUUUUCAGGAGACCAGCGCUGGAAUGAAAUGAAAUUAUGAAACUGUACAAACAUGAUUUUUUGCUAUAUAUUUUGUUUGAAAGUCAACACUGAGUGGCACCUAAAACAAGUACAUUUCAAUGUUUGUUGUUGAAGUACCGCUGUAAAAUAAAUCAAUAAGGAAAGAAAAGCUUUCCAGACUCAGCACUUUACAUUUCAUAUUUUGCAUCUCCUUAAAGUAGGGAUUCUGCUGAAUUUUGGAAUUUGGGAGUGGGUAGGUU